rnacentral:rRNA from 1 species
AGCAGCCGCGGUAAUUCCAGCUCCAAUAGCGUAUAUUAAAGUUGUUGCAGUUAAAAAGCUCGUAGUUGAAUUUCGGGGUCAGUAGGUUGGUCGUGCCACUGGUAUGUACUGGUCUCACUGAUUCCUCCUUCCUGAUGAGCUGUAAUGCCAUUAAUUUGGUGUUGCAGGGAAUCUGGACUGUUACUUUGAAAAAAUUAGAGUGUUUAAAGCAGGCUAACGCUUGAAUACAUUAGCAUGGAAUAAUGAAAUAGGACGUUCGAUCCUAUUUUGUUGGUUUCUAGGAUUGACGUAAUGAUUAAUAGGGAUAGUUGGGGGCAUUAGUAUUCAAUUGUCAGAGGUGAAAUUCUUGGAUUUAUUGAAGACUAACUACUGCGAAAGCAUUUGCCAAGGAUGUUUUCAUUAAUCAAGAACGAAAGUUAGGGGAUCGAAGACGAUCAGAUACCGUCGUAGUCUUAACCAUAAACUAUGCCGACUAGGGAUCGGAUGAUGUUAAUUUUUUAAUGACUCAUUCGGCGCCUUACG